rnacentral:rRNA from 1 species
UACGGAGGGUGCAAGCGUUGUCCGGAUUUAUUGGGUUUAAAGGGUGCGUAGGCGGGUUUUUAAGUCAGUGGUGAAAGCCCACAGCUCAACUGUGGAACUGCCAUUGAUACUGAAGACCUUGAGUAUCGUUGAGGUAGGCGGAAUUUAUGGUGUAGCGGUGAAAUGCAUAGAUACCAUAAAGAACACCGAUAGCGUAGGCAGCUUACUAAACGAUAACUGACGCUGAGGCACGAAAGCAUGGGUAGCGAACAGGAUUAGAAACCCCCGUAGUCC